rnacentral:rRNA from 1 species
AACGUAGGAGACAAACGUUAUCCGGAGUUACUGGGCGUAAAGGGCGCGUAGGUGGCCUGUGGAAGUCUGCGGUGAAAGCCCGGCGCUCAACGCCGGGUCGGCCGUGGAUACUCUCGGGCUUGAGCUUACUAGAGGCAGAUGGAAUUCCGGGUGUAGCGGUGGAAUGCGUAGAGAUCCGGAAGAACACCGGUGGCGAAGGCGGUCUGCUGGGGUAAUGCUGACACUGAUGCGCGACAGCGUGGGGGAGCAAACAGG